GAUGAACGCUAGCUACAGGCUUAACACAUGCAAGUCGAGGGGCAGCAUGUCGGUUGCUUGCAACCGAUGAUGGCGACCGGCGCACGGGUGUGUAACGCGUAUCCAACCUACCCUUGUCCAUCGGAUAACCCGUCGAAAGGCGGCCUAACACGAUAUGCGGUUCACAGCAGGCAUCUAACGUGAACGAAAUGUGAAGGAGAAGGAUGGGGAUGCGUCUGAUUAGCUUGUUGGCGGGGUAACGGCCCACCAAGGCUACGAUCAGUAGGGGUUCUGGGAGGAAGGUCCCCCACAUUGGAACUGAGACACGGUCCAAACUCCUACGGGAGGCAGCAGUGAGGAAUAUUGGUCAAUGGACGAGAGUCUGAACCAGCCAAGUAGCGUGCAGGAUGACGGCCCUAUGGGUUGUAAACUGCUUUUAUAGGGGGAUAAAGUGUGCCACGUGUGGCUUAUUGCAGGUACCCUAUGAAUAAGGACCGGCUAAUUCCGUGCCAGCAGCCGCCGUAACAC
rnacentral:rRNA from 1 species